AGCCACAGAAACCAGGCCGCUGCAACUGUUUAUUAAAAACAUAGCACUCUGCAAACACGAAAGUGGACGUAUAGGGUGUGAUGCCUGCCCGGUGCUGGAAGGUUAAUUGAUGGGGUUAGCGUAAGCGAAGCUCUUGAUCGAAGCCCCAGUAAACGGCGGCCGUAACUAUAACGGUCCUAAGGUAGCGAAAUUCCUUGUCGGGUAAGUUCCGACCUGCACGAAUGGCAUAAUGAUGGCGGCGCUGUCUCCAGCAGAGGCUCAGUGAAAUCGAAAUCGCUGUGAAGAUGCAGUGUACCCGCGGCUAGACGGAAAGACCCCGUGAACCUUUACUGCAGCUUGACAUUGAACUUUGACCUUACUUGUGUAGGAUAGGUGGGAGGCUUUGAAGUUGGAACGCUAGUUCCAAUGGAGCCGUCCUUGAAAUACCACCCUGGUAAUGUUGAGGUUCUAACUCUGCCCCGUAAUCCGGGGCGAGGACCAUGUCUGGUGGGUAGUUUGACUGGGGCGGUCUCCUCCUAAAGAGUAACGGAGGAGUACGAAGGUGCGCUCAGCGUGGUCGGAAAUCACGCGUAGAGUAUAAAGGCAAAAGCGCGCUUAACUGCGAGACCCACAAGUCGAGCAGGUACGAAAGUAGGUCUUAGUGAUCCGGUGGUUCUGUAUGGAAGGGCCAUCGCUCAACGGAUAAAAGGUACUCUGGGGAUAACAGGCUGAUACCGCCCAAGAGUUCAUAUCGACGGCGGUGUUUGGCACCUCGAUGUCGGCUCAUCUCAUCCUGGGGCUGAAGCAGGUCCCAAGGGUAUGGCUGUUCGCCAUUUAAAGAGGUACGCGAGCUGGGUUUAGAACGUCGUGAGACAGUUCGGUCCCUAUCUACCGUGGGCGCUGGAAAUUUGAGAGGAUCUGCUCCUAGUACGAGAGGACCAGAGUGGACGAACCUCUGGUGUACCGGUUGUGACGCCAGUCGCAUCGCCGGGUAGCUAUGUUCGGAAGGGAUAACCGCUGAAAGCAUCUAAGCGGGAAGCCUACCUCAAGAUAAGAUUUCCCUAGGACUUUAUGUCCUCUAAAGAGCCGUUCGAGACUAGGACGUUGAUAGGUUGGAUGUGGAAGCAUAGUGAUAUGUGAAGCUGACCAAUACUAAUUGCUCGUGAGGCUUGACUAU
rnacentral:rRNA from 1 species